GUGCUGACUUCAGCAGCACAUAUACUAAAAUUGGAAUUAUCCAGGGAAGAUUAGUACGGCCCUUGCACAAGGAUGACAUGCAAAUUUGUGAAGUGUUCCAUAUUUUA
rnacentral:snRNA from 1 species